UACGAAGGGGGGCUAGCGUUGUUCGGAAUUACUGGGCGUAAAGCGCACGUAGGCGGGUUGUUAAGUCAGGGGUGAAAUCCUGGAGCUCAACUCCAGAACUGCCUUUGAUACUGGCAACCUAGAGACUGGAAGAGGUUAGUGGAAUUCCCAGUGUAGAGGUGAAAUUCGUAGAUAUUGGGAAGAACACCAGUGGCGAAGGCGGCUAACUGGUCCAGCACUGACGCUGAGGUGCGAAAGCGUGGGGAGCAAACGGG
rnacentral:rRNA from 1 species